rnacentral:rRNA from 1 species
GAUGAACGCUAGCGGGAGGCUUAACACAUGCAAGUCGAGGGGCAGCAUAGAGUAGCAAUACUUUGAUGGCGACCGGUGCACGGGCGAGUAACGCGUAUGUAACCUACCCUGUACAGGGGAUAGCCCGGAGAAUUUCGGAUUAAUACCCCAUAAUGAUAUCGCGAGGCAUCUUUUGAUAUUUAAAGCUUCUGCGGUAUGGGAUGGGCAGGCGUGACAUUAGCUAGUUUGUAAGGUAACGGCUUACCAAGGCUGCGAUGUCUAGGGGUCCUGAGAGGGUGAUCCCCCACACUGGUACUGAGACACGGACCAGACUCCUACGGGAGGCAGCAGUGAGGAAUAUUGGUCAAUGGGCGUAAGCCUGAACCAGCCAUCCCGCGUGAAGGAAGAAGGCGCUAUGCGUCGUAAACUUCUUUUCCAGAGGAAUAAAAUUUUGUACGCGUACAGAACUGAAGGUACUCUGGGAAUAAGCAUCGGCUAACUCCGUGCCAGCCGCCGCCGUAACAC